ACGCUCGACACCUACUGGAGGCAGCAGUGGGGAAUAUUGCACAAUGGGGGAAACCCUGAUGCAGCGACGCCGCGUGAGCGAAGAAGUAUUUCGGUAUGUAAAGCUCUAUCAGCAGGGAAGAAACUGACGGUACCUGACUAAGAAGCACCGGCUAAAUACGUGCCAGCAGCCGCGGUAAUCUGAGCGGGCUGGCAAGGC
rnacentral:rRNA from 1 species